AUCCAGCUGACGAGUCUCAAAUAGGACGAAGUGAUGCGCGUCAGAAGUAGAU
rnacentral:hammerhead_ribozyme from 1 species